rnacentral:rRNA from 1 species
UACGUAGGGGGCAAGCGUUGUCCGGAUUUAUUGGGCGUAAAGAGCGUGUAGGCGGCCAGACAGGUCCGUUGUGAAAACUCGAGGCUCAACCUCGAGAUGUCGAUGGAAACCGUCUGGCUAGAGUCCGGAAGAGGAGUGUGGAAUUCCUGGUGUAGCGGUGAAAUGCGCAGAUAUCAGGAAGAACACCUAUGGCGAAGGCAGCUCUCUGGUACGAGACUGACGCUGAGACGCGAAAGCAUGGGGAGCGAACAGG